UUAAGAUAGUAAGGGCGUAUGGUGGAUGCCUAGGCACCGGAAGCCGAUGAAGGACGUGGCAAGCUGCGAUAAGCCACGGGGAGCCGCAAGCGGGCUGUGAUCCGUGGAUCUCCGAAUGGGGGAACCCGGCGGGGGUAAUGCCCCGUCACCCGCACCUGAACACAUAGGGUGCGAGGAGGGAACCCGGGGAACUGAUACAUCUUAGUACCCGGAGGAAAAGAAAGAAACUCUCGAUUCCCUGAGUAGUGGCGAGCGAAAGGGGAGGAGCCCAAACCGGGUGCGUGGAAGGCUGCGGCCGUUGCGCAUCCGGGGUUGUAGGGCCGGACGUGGCCGCUCCGCAGGGCGGCCGGGGAGUUACAAAUCGCGCGGGUAGCCGAACCGGGAUGGAUAAUCUCGGCCGUAGAGGGUGAUAGCCCCGUAGGCGAAACUCGUGCGACUCCCUGCUCCGGACCCUGAGUAGAUCCGGACACGUGAAACCCGGAUCGAAUCCGCGGGGACCACCCCGCAAGGCUAAAUACUAACGGUGACCGAUAGCGAACCAGUACCGUGAGGGAAAGGUGAAAAGUACCCCGCAAGGGGGGUGAAACAGUACCUGAAACCAUACGCCUACAAGCGGUCGGAGCGGCGACUUUGGUCGUCGUGACGGCGUACUUUUUGCAUAACGGGCCAGCGAGUUGCUCGUGCCUGGCGAGGUUAAGCUUGAGAGCGAGCCGAAGCGAAAGCGAGUCCGAACAGGGCGUCCAGUCAGGUGCGGCAGACCCGAAACCGGGCGAGCUAUCCAUGGCCAGGCUGAAGCGGGGGUAAGACCUCGUGGAGGGCCGAACCCACCAGGGUUGAAAACCUGGGGGAUGAGCUGUGGAUAGGAGUGAAAGGCUAAUCAAGCUCGGCGAUAUCUGGUUCUCCCCGAAAUAUAUUUAGGUAUAGCCCGGCGCGUUUCGUCGCGGGUGUAGAGCACUGUUUGGGCGCGGGGCCCUACAAGGUUACCAACCCCAGACAAACUCCGAAGACCGUUGACGUGAGAGCGCCGGAGUCAGGGGCCGGGGGAUAAACUCCGGUCCCGAGAGGGAAACAACCCAGACCGCCGGCUAAGGUCCCCAAAUGACGGCUAAGUGGCGAAAAGGAUGUGGCGCUGCACAGACAGCCAGGAGGUUGGCUUAGAAGCAGCCAUCCUUUAAAGAGUGCGUAAUAGCUCACUGGUCGAGUGGUGUUGCGCCGAAAAUUCAUCGGGCCUGCAAGCCGUCUACCGAAGCCGCGGACUUCAGCUUUGCUGGAGUGGUAGGGGAGCAUCCCGUUGCGGUCGAAGCGGCGCCGUGAGGCAGCCGUGGACGCCUCGGGAGAGAGAAUGCUGGCAUGAGUAACGAGAGACGGGCGAGAAACCCGUCCGCCGAAAGCCCAAGGGUUCCUGGGUAAAGCUAAUCUUCCCAGGGUCAGUCGGGACCUAAGCCGAGGGCGAAAGCCGUAGGCGAUGGGCAGCAGGUUGAUAUUCCUGCACCACGUGCGUGGCGUCUGAGCGAUGGAGGGACGGAGAAGGGUAGGCCAACCGGGGCGCUGGUAGACCCCGGGCUUGCCCGUAGGGCGGGGACCAGGAAAAUCCGGGCCCCAUACAAGCCUGAGGGGUGAGCCGAGCCCUUUAUUGGGCGAAGUGGCUGAACCCAUGCUCCCGGGAAAAGCUUCUAAGCGAGUCACGUGCGUGCCCGUACCCCAAACCGACACAGGUGGGCGAGUGGAGAACACUAAGGCGAUCGAGCGAACUGUGGCUAAGGAACUCGGCAAAUUGCCCCCGUAACUUCGGGAGAAGGGGGGCUCCUGCCGGUGAAGGCCCUCGCGGCCGGAGCUGGCGGGAGCCGCAGAGAAUAGGCCCAAGCGACUGUUUACCAAAAACACAGGUCUCUGCUAAGUCGAAAAGACGACGUAUAGGGGCUGACGCCUGCCCAAUGCCAGAACGUUAAGGAAGGGGGUUAGCCCUUUUAGGGCGAAGCUCCCGACCGAAGCGCUGGUCAAUGGCGGCCGUAACUAUAACGGUCCUAAGGUAGCGAAAUUCCUUGUCGGGUAAGUUCCGACCUGCACGAAAGGCGUAACGACUUGGGCGCUGUCUCGGCCACAGGCUCGGUGAAAUUGUAGUCUCGGUGAAGAUGCCGAGUACCCGCGGAAAGACGGAAAGACCCCGUGAACCUUUACUGUACCCUGGCAUUGGAUGCUGACACACCUUGUGCAGGAUAGGAGGGAGGCUGAGAAGCCGGGGCGCCAGCCUCGGUGGAGCCGUCCUUGAGAUACCUCCCUUGGUGUGUUGGUGUUCUAACCCGGCGCCGUGAUCCGGGUCGGGAACAGUGUCAGGCGGGCAGUUUGACUGGGGCGGUCGCCUCCUAAAAGGUAACGGAGGCGCCCAAAGGUCCCCUCAGCACGGUCGGAAAUCGUGCGCAGAGUGCAAACGCACAAGGGGGCUUGACUGCGAGACCGACAGGUCGAGCAGGGACGAAAGUCGGGGUUAGUGAUCCGGCGGUUACGCGUGGAAGUGCCGUCGCUCAACGGAUAAAAGGUACUCCGGGGAUAACAGGCUUAUCGCCGCCAAGAGUUCACAUCGACGCGGCGGUUUGGCACCUCGAUGUCGGCUCGUCGCAUCCUGGGGCCGGAGUAGGUCCCAAGGGUUGGGCUGUUCGCCCAUUAAAGCGGUACGCGAGCUGGGUUCAGAACGUCGUGAGACAGUUCGGUCCCUAUCUUCCGUGGGCGUUGGAGGCUUGAGGGGAGCGACUCCUAGUACGAGAGGACCGGAGUGGACGCACCUCUGGUGUACCGGUUGUCCUGCCAAGGGCACCGCCGGGUAGCCAUGUGCGGAAGGGAUAACCGCUGAAGGCAUCUAAGCGGGAAGCCCACCCCAAGACGAGGCCUCCCAUCCCCUUUGAGGGAGUAAGACCCCUGGUAGACCACCAGGUUGAUAGGCCGCAGGUGCAAGCGUCGUGAGGCGUUUAGCCGAGCGGUACUAAUCGGUCGAGGUCUUAA
rnacentral:rRNA from 1 species